CAGUACUUGAAUGUAGUUCGAUAUGUCAAUAUUAAUGAAUAUGUUGUUGUAUGUGCUACUAGGAAUAACUUAUUCAUAUGUAAAUGGUGAUGAAAUUUACAGAGACUCCAGAUUCUUGAUAUCUUCCAACUGCGGCCAAGGAGGGAACACACAGGUAUGUCUAAAUCCGUUUACAAGACAAGUGGUUCCUGUCUGUUGCCUACCACCGACAACCGGACUCUGUUGCAGAA